GAUUAAGUUAUUAAGGGCGCACGGUGGAUGCCUUGGCACUAGAAGCCGAUGAAGGACGUUACUAACGACGAUAUGCUUUGGGUAGCUGUAAGUAAGCGUUGAUCCAGAGAUUUCCGAAUGGGGGAACCUAGCAUGAGUUAUGUCAUGUUAUCGACAUGUGAAUUCAUAGCAUGUCAGAAGGCAGACCCGGAGAACUGAAACAUCUUAGUACCCGGAGGAAGAGAAAGAAAAAUCGAUUCCCUGAGUAGCGGCGAGCGAAACGGGAAGAGCCCAAACCAACAAGCUUGCUUGUUGGGGUUGUAGGACACUCUAUACGGAGUUACAAAAGAACAUGUUAGACGAAUCAUCUGGAAAGAUGAAUCAAAGAAGGUAAUAAUCCUGUAGUCGAAAACAUAUUCUCUCUUGAGUGGAUCCUGAGUACGACGGAGCACGUGAAAUUCCGUCGGAAUCUGGGAGGACCAUCUCCUAAGGCUAAAUACUCUCUAGUGACCGAUAGUGAACCAGUACCGUGAGGGAAAGGUGAAAAGUACCCCGGAAGGGGAGUGAAAGAGAACUUGAAACCGUGUGCUUACAAGUAGUCAGAGCCCGUUAAUGGGUGAUGGCGUGCCUUUUGUAGAAUGAACCGGCGAGUUACGAUCUGAUGCAAGGUUAAGCAGCAAAUGUGGAGCCGCAGCGAAAGCGAGUCUGAAUAGGGCGUUGAGUAUUUGGUCGUAGACCCGAAACCAGGUGAUCUACCCUUGGUCAGGUUGAAGUUCAGGUAACACUGAAUGGAGGACCGAACCGACUUACGUUGAAAAGUGAGCGGAUGAACUGAGGGUAGCGGAGAAAUUCCAAUCGAACUUGGAGAUAGCUGGUUCUCUCCGAAAUAGCUUUAGGGCUAGCCUCAAGUGAUGAUUAUUGGAGGUAGAGCACUGUUUGGACGAGGGGCCCCUCUCGGGUUACCGAAUUCAGACAAACUCCGAAUGCCAAUUAAUUUAACUUGGGAGUCAGAACAUGGGUGAUAAGGUCCGUGUUCGAAAGGGAAACAGCCCAGACCACCAGCUAAGGUCCCAAAAUAUAUGUUAAGUGGAAAAGGAUGUGGCGUUGCCCAGACAACUAGGAUGUUGGCUUAGAAGCAGCCAUCAUUUAAAGAGUGCGUAAUAGCUCACUAGUCGAGUGACACUGCGCCGAAAAUGUACCGGGGCUAAACAUAUUACCGAAGCUGUGGAUUGUCCUUUGGACAAUGGUAGGAGAGCGUUCUAAGGGCGUCGAAGCAUGAUCGCAAGGACAUGUGGAGCGCUUAGAAGUGAGAAUGCCGGUGUGAGUAGCGAAAGACGGGUGAGAAUCCCGUCCACCGAUUGACUAAGGUUUCCAGAGGAAGGCUCGUCCGCUCUGGGUUAGUCGGGUCCUAAGCUGAGGCCGACAGGCGUAGGCGAUGGAUAACAGGUUGAUAUUCCUGUACCACCUAGUAUCGUUUUAAUCGAUGGGGGGACGCAGUAGGAUAGGCGAAGCGUGCUGUUGGAGUGCACGUCCAAGCAGUAAGGCUGAGUGUUAGGCAAAUCCGGCACUCAUAAGGCUGAGCUGUGAUGGGGAGAGGAAAUUGUUUCCUCGAGUCGUUGAUUUCACACUGCCGAGAAAAGCCUCUAGAUAGAUAACAGGUGCCCGUACCGCAAACCGACACAGGUAGUCAAGAUGAGAAUUCUAAGGUGAGCGAGCGAACUCUCGUUAAGGAACUCGGCAAAAUGACCCCGUAACUUCGGGAGAAGGGGUGCUCUUUAGGGUUCACGCCCAGAAGAGCCGCAGUGAAUAGGCCCAAGCGACUGUUUAUCAAAAACACAGGUCUCUGCUAAACCGUAAGGUGAUGUAUAGGGGCUGACGCCUGCCCGGUGCUGGAAGGUUAAGAGGAGUGGUUAGCUUCUGCGAAGCUACGAAUC
rnacentral:rRNA from 1 species